UUGGGACAAUUACGAAACCUAUAGGCGAAAUGAAAGUAAAGGCCCGCCUAGCGCGGGCCGAGGGAGGAUGGGUGUUCCCGUAAGGGUCGCCCCGCACUCCCAGGGCGUCUCAUUCUCAUCGCGAGAAGAGGCGCACCAAGAGCGUACACGCUGGGACCCGAAAGAUGGUGAACUAUGCCUGGUCAGGACGAAGUCAGGGGAAACCCUGAUGGAGGUCCGUAGCGAUUCUGACGUGCAAAUCGAUCGUCGGAACUGGGUAUAGGGGCGAAAGACUAAUCGAACCAUCUAGUAGCUGGUUCCCUCCGAAGUUUCCCUCAGGAUAGCUGGCGCUCGCUUCUGGCGAGUCUCAUUCGGUAAAGCGAAUGAUUAGAGGCAUUGGGGUCGAAACGGCCUCAACCUAUUCUCAAACUUUAAAUGGGUGAGAUCUCCGGCUUGCUUGAACUGUGAAGCCGCGAGAUAUCGGAUCAGAGUGCCAAGUGGGCCACUUUUGGUAAGCAGAACUGGCGCUGUGGGAUGAACCAAACGCAGAGUUAAAGCGCCUAAAUCGACGCUUAUGGGAUACCAUGAAAGGCGUUGGUAACUUAAGACAGCAGGACGGUGGCCAUGGAAGUCGGA
rnacentral:rRNA from 1 species